GUUGAUUAUCAUGGACCAACAAAGAUUACCUUUCUUCUUUGACUAAAGGAUUUAAAGCUGUCAUUUCUCUAUUCUAAAUUUUCUACUUGUUUCCAUGGACAAAUAUGCUGCAAAUUCACCUACUUUCCAAAUUAAUUUCACAACCGAAAUGUGGAAAAGAGAUAAUUUCAGGAAUGACUCAUGGCACACACUCAAGUACAGUAGCUGGACUCAUCCCAUCCCAUCCCGGGGAUGAGUCAGGAUUCCAACGACGCAGCAAAGCCCCAGAGACAGCCACCCUCUGAGCCGCCCACUCCUAAACAUCCGUCCUCCUUCCUGUCACCCACCCCUGCCCAAACGUAAAUCCCAGGAAGGUAGUCUUCUCUGUGAAAUAAUGACAGAGGCACUGCUAAUCUUCUCAUUAUAUGGGCUUUUCUGAUUCUCAGGUAGAAAUUAAAUGGAUGUCUCGUUAUGGAGAAUAGACCCCUGAGAACAGCACAACAGUGACUAUUUAAAAAGGUAUUUAGCUGGCGGGGCACGCCUGUCAUCCCGCUACUCCAGGAGGCUGAGGCAGGAAGAGUGCAGAUUCAAGUCUAGGCAGGGAAACAGCAACGUGACCAGAUGCUGUCGCUAAAUACAAACACACAUAUGUACCUGCAUACAUAGGUACGUACCUACGUACACUGGGAGGAAGCUCAGUGCUGAGGCCAUGAAGCAUCAUAACUGGUCAGGCAGUCUUCUCUGUCCUCACGUGGUGAAAGGGCAGGAGGUGACAGAAUACUGUGUGAGGCUUCUUU
rnacentral:lncRNA from 1 species